AUGGAUCCAUUCCCCGUCUUUGGCCGCGAGAGAUCCCCGUCGUCGCCGGACUACCCGCCCCGCCCGGGGUCGCCGGAGUACGUGCCGUCAUGCCAUCAGUGGCGUGCGGGGUCGCUUGACCUCGCGCCGUUGACUUCCCCGUGGCGCGCCGAGUCCCCGGAGUACGUCCCGUCGACUCCCUGGUGGCGCGGGCGCGUGACGGUCACGGGCAGACACCACGCCAGGUCAUCGGCGGGUGGGCGGCAGAGCUCGUCCUCGUCGUCGCCGGAUUACUUCCCGUCCACCUCGCCGUGCCGCGUGGCAUCUCCGGAGUAUAUGCCGUCGGCUCACCACUGGAGGCGCGCGGCGUCACCAGAGUACGCGCCGUCGACCUCCCCGUGGCGCGCUGAGUCCCCGGAGUACGUCCCGUCGACUCCCUGGUGGCGCGGGCGCGCGGCGGGCAGCCAGCGCACCCGGUUGUCGGCGCCUGGGCGGCAGAGCUCGUCGUCGCCGGAUUACUCCCCUUCUACCUCGCCGUGCCGCGUGGCGUCGCCGGAGCAUAUGCCGUUGGCUGACCACUGGAGGCGCGCGCUGGCGGUGUUCCCCGCCGACGACACCCCGUCGACACCUCUGGAGCAGCGACCUUCGUCGUCGGACCCCGCCACAUCGACACCUCUGCGGCGCUCGCCGUCACCGGAUUACUCCCCGUCGGCCUCAUCGUGGCGCGCGGCCUCACCGGAGUACGUGCCGACUGCUCCGUGGAGGCGCGCGGCGUCCCCGCAGCACACGCCCCCGACGCGUCCCCAGAGGGCGGCGACAUAUCCCGACCGCGUCCCCUGCGCGUCUCCUCCGUCGCCGCCUGACGCUGGGUCGCGCACGUCGUCGCGGUCCCGCUGCUAUCAUCCGUACCAGAGGAGCGGCGUCGGGACGUGCACGUGCUCCGCGCGCCGGAGCUGA
rnacentral:rRNA from 1 species